UUUGCAGGGAAAACCCGGAUUACAACGGCUUUUUUUUCCUUCUUCCCUUUUCCCGGCCUCGAGCGGCCCUCCCGGCGGCGCACGCCCCAGCCGCAGCCGCAGCCCCAGCCCCAGCCCCAGCCCAGCCCCAGCCCGUGGCCGCCUGCGGGGGCGCCCGCACAGGUGCGCAGGACGCCGGGGCGCGGGGCGGAGGCUGGGGAGGCGGCGCGGACCUGGGCCCGGAGCCGCAGCCUCUCCAACUUCCCGGAGCGGCCGGGCCAGUGUGCGGCCGCCGGGGGGUCGGCGGGGGGCGGGAGCGCCGUCUCCGCGGGCGCCCGGGGAGGCCCAGCUGGGGGCGGGGGGGGGGACUCACCUGGGGGCGCGGCGGCAGGUGCGGCGGGGCGGCGGGCGGGAGGUCGGUCGGGGUCGGGGUCGGCGGGGUCGGGCCGGGUCGGGUCGCGCCGAGUCGGGGUCGCGGCCGGGGCUGGAGUCGGGGUCGCGGCCGAGGUCGGGGCUGGAGCCGGGGUCGGAGCCGGGGUCGCGGCCGGGGUCGGGGUCGCGGCCGGGGUCGGGUCGGGUCGCGGCCGGGGUCGGGGCCGGGGCGCGGGGCGGCGGCCGGGGCGUGGGCGGCGCGGCGCCGGGUCCGGGUCGGGGUCCGCGGGGUCCGUGGGGGCCGCGGCGGCGCGCGGGGCGUGCGGCGAGGGCGAGGGCGAGGGCGAGGGGGGGCGGGGGCGGGGGCGGCGGGGAGGCGGGGCGGCCGAGCGGGCUCCCCGGCCCCGGGCCCCGCGCCGCGUCCACCUGCCCCCGGCCCCGCCGGCCGGGACGGUCCCCGCCGAGACGGAGCGGCGGCGGCGGCGGCGGCGGCGGCGCAGCAGAGCAGGGCGACGGCGCGCAGGCUCGGCAGGCUCCUCAUGGCGCGCGGGGCUCCGCCGUGCGUUCACGCGGUCGUGGCGUCGGCCGCUCGGGCAUCCCGCCGUCCCCGCGCCCGCACCCGCACCCGCGCCCGCGCCCGCGCCCGCUCCCGCUCCCGCACCCGGGCCGCCGCCGCCGCGCGCAUCGCCUCCUCCCUCUGACAGGCGCCCGGCCCCGCGGGCGGCCCCAGCGCGCAGGCAGCGCCCGGCCCCGCGCGCACGGCCCGCCCUCCGCGACGGGCGGCCGCGCCGGCCAAUGGGCGCCCGCGCCGGCCCACGUGACGCGCCCGGGCCCCGCCCCCGAGCGGCCCCGCGGGCCAAUGGGCGGGCGUGCGGCGGGGGCGGGGCCGGGCGGGCGGGGGCGGCGCGGGCGCGUCUGCGGCCCCGGCUCGGGCGGCCGCGGCUUUGUCUGCCCGGGGAGCGGGGCGCGGGGCGCGGGGCGCGGGGCGCGGGCGGCGGCGGCGGCGGCGGCGAGCAGACAAAGGACGCGCCCCGCGCGGCGGCCCGAGCUGCUGCUGCCCCGGGGCGGGGGUCGGCUCCGGGAGCCCCCGCCCUGCCGACAGUGGGGCGCCGCGGCGGGGAAACUGAGGCGGCGGCCGACACCUGCUGCGGGGGGCCCGCCCCGGUCCGCGAGCGCAGCCCCCCGGCCCCGCCCCCCCCCAGGACGCCCCGGGGCUCCGGCGGCCCGAGCGCAGCGGCUGCCGGGGGCGGCCUCGGGCAUGUGUCGGGCGGUCCUGGGGGCGCGGGGCGUUGGGGUCGGGGUCGGGGUCGGCUCCCGCCAUCCUCGGAGGAGCCCGGGACGGCGGCGGGGCGCGGCGGGGCGGGGGGUCCUCGUCCGCUCGACUUCCCGGGGCCGCGGGUGGACAGGCCCGUCGGCGGCCCGCGCCCUCCCGCGCACCUUCCGGCCCCGAACCCCCGAGACGUCCCUGGGUCCUGGGGAGUAACGGCCCCGCCCGUCCGCCCGCGGCCCUUUGUUAACCCGCGGACUCUGGUCCCGGUGGAUCCCUCCCCCCCCCCGGGCCUCUUCCUAAAAGCCCGAGAAAGGUUUUCGGAAACAAACACGGUCCACAGCUGCCCUCCGCCCCUUCACCCCGCGGGCGCGCAGGUGCCUCGGCCCCGCCCCAGCACCGGCCGAGUAGGGUCGCGCCCCCCCCAGGGCUGUGCCCCCCGCUCUCGGGGCCCCCGGGGCUGA
rnacentral:lncRNA from 1 species